GUGCAUGCAUGUGGUCUCAGCUACUCAGGCUGAGGUGGGAAGAUCGCUUGAGCCUGGGAGUUGAGGCUGCAGUGAGCUAUGAUGGCACCACUGCACUCCAACCCGGGUGACAAAGCGAGAUCCUGUCUCUAAAUUAAAUUAAAAACAAUACCACCAAAACAACAACAGGUUGGGCGGUGGUGUCUCACGCCUAUAAUCGGAGCACUUUGGGAGGUCGAAAUGGGAGACCAUGUGAAGCCAGGAGUUCGAGAGCAGCCUGGGCAACACAGACCCCACCUCUACAAAAAAUAAAACUGGCCUUGAUGGCGCGCCCUGUAAUCCUAGCUACUUGGGAGGCUGAGGCAGGGGGAUGGCUUGAGUCCCAGAGGUUGAGGCUGCAGUGAGCUGAGAUCCCGCCGCUACACUCCAGACUGGAUGACAAACUGAGAUCCUAUCAAAAAACAAACAAACAAACAAACAGUGCCCCACUCAGUUUUUCCUGAAACGCGCAACCCUCGCCCGUAGCCAGGAGAAAACUCCGCGAGCCAGCAAAACACAAACUCGGCCGGGAAACAGACAACAAGGCCACCCUGGGGUGCCAGAAGAGGACGCUGCGAGGCGGGUUCUUCUUCCUGGUCGGCGGCGAGCGCUUCCGGGGUGGUGGCGAGGGAGGCGGAAGUGCGGUGUUCUAGCAGGUGGCUGCUUUCUCUGGGCUGGCUGUGGGAGGCUCCCGAGGUGGGGACCCGGCCGGGAUGGCUGCAGCGGCGGCCGGGGCUGGGAGCGGGCCCUCGGCGGCCCAGGAGAAGCAGUUCCUGCCGGCGCUGCUGAGUUUCUUCAUCUACAACCCGCGCUUCUGGCCGCGGGAAGGAGAGACCUCCCAGUGCCAAGUGUAUAAGCGUGUCCAGAAUUGGUGGGUCUCACUGACUUCAAGAAUGAAGCCGCGGACCCUCCUGGCGGAAUUCUCCACGAGUUUUGAGCAGCCUCGGUUUUCCCACCACCUCCAAAUCAUGCAAGACACAGGGCAGAGCCCCCGGAGCCAUGGCCAGCCCUUCCGGCAGCUCCAAAGCCACUGGCAAGCCCCGAGGCAGGGAUGGCCGGCCCAGGAGGGAGGAGGACGACGUCCCUCCCGAAGAGAAGAGGCUGCGGCUCUUGCUGGAGGGGGGAAGCGCACAGCCCCAGGACUGCGAGGACGGGGAGGACGCGCCGCGGCCGGGCAGGGAGGAGACCGGCACCCAGACAGGUGGCGACGGCAGAGGACCUCUGCCUCAGUCUCCUCUUCUGGAAAGUGGGAUUGGAAACCACAUCUGCUUCUCUCCCAGGACUGCUAGGCAGACAAGAUUAGAUGGCAGGAGCCAGGUCGGUAUAAGCGCCAGCGGCCUCGCCGCCCGUCAAGCUGUCCACAUCCCUGGCCUCAGCCCGCCACAUCACCCUGACCUGCUUACGCCCAGAUUUUCUUCAAUCACAUCUGAAUAAAUCACUUGAAGAAAGCUUAUAGCUUCAUUGCACCAUGUGUGGCAUUUGGGCGCUGUUUGGCAGUGAUGAUUGCCUUUCUGUUCAGUGUCUGAGUGCUAUGAAGAUUGCACACAGAGGUCCAGAUGCAUUCCGUUUUGAGAAUGUCAAUGGAUACACCAACUGCUGCUUUGGAUUUCACCGGUUGGCGGUAGUUGACCCGCUGUUUGGAAUGCAGCCAAUUCGAGUGAAGAAAUAUCCGUAUUUGUGGCUCUGUUACAAUGGUGAAAUCUACAACCAUAAGAAGAUGCAACAGCAUUUUGAAUUUGAAUACCAGACCAAAGUGGAUGGUGAGAUAAUCCUUCAUCUUUAUGACAAAGGAGGAAUUGAGCAAACAAUUUGUAUGUUGGAUGGUGUGUUUGCAUUUGUUUUACUGGAUACUGCCAAUAAGAAAGUGUUCCUGGGUAGAGAUACAUAUGGAGUCAGACCUUUGUUUAAAGCAAUGACAGAAGAUGGAUUUUUGGCUGUAUGUUCAGAAGCUAAAGGUCUUGUUACAUUGAAGCACUCCGCGACUCCCUUUUUAAAAGUGGAGCCUUUUCUUCCUGGACACUAUGAAGUUUUGGAUUUAAAGCCAAAUGGCAAAGUUGCAUCCGUGGAAAUGGUUAAAUAUCAUCACUGUCGGGAUGUACCCCUGCACGCCCUCUAUGACAAUGUGGAGAAACUCUUUCCAGGUUUUGAGAUAGAAACUGUGAAGAACAACCUCAGGAUCCUUUUUAAUAAUGCUGUAAAGAAACGUUUGAUGACAGACAGAAGGAUUGGCUGCCUUUUAUCAGGGGGCUUGGACUCCAGCUUGGUUGCUGCCACUCUGUUGAAGCAGCUGAAAGAAGCCCAAGUACAGUAUCCUCUCCAGACAUUUGCAAUUGGCAUGGAAGACAGCCCCGAUUUACUGGCUGCUAGAAAGGUGGCAGAUCAUAUUGGAAGUGAACAUUAUGAAGUCCUUUUUAACUCUGAGGAAGGCAUUCAGGCUCUGGAUGAAGUCAUAUUUUCCUUGGAAACUUAUGACAUUACAACAGUUCGUGCUUCAGUAGGUAUGUAUUUAAUUUCCAAGUAUAUUCGGAAGAACACAGAUAGCGUGGUGAUCUUCUCUGGAGAAGGAUCAGAUGAACUUACGCAGGGUUACAUAUAUUUUCACAAGGCUCCUUCUCCUGAAAAAGCCGAGGAGGAGAGUGAGAGGCUUCUGAGGGAACUCUAUUUGUUUGAUGUUCUCCGCGCAGAUCGAACUACUGCUGCCCAUGGUCUUGAACUGAGAGUCCCAUUUCUAGAUCAUCGAUUUUCUUCCUAUUACUUGUCUCUGCCACCAGAAAUGAGAAUUCCAAAGAAUGGGAUAGAAAAACAUCUCCUGAGAGAGACGUUUGAGGAUUCCAAUCUGAUACCCAAAGAGAUUCUCUGGCGACCAAAAGAAGCCUUCAGUGAUGGAAUAACUUCAGUUAAGAAUUCCUGGUUUAAGAUUUUACAGGAAUACGUUGAACAUCAGGUUGAUGAUGCAAUGAUGGCAAAUGCAGCCCAGAAAUUUCCCUUCAAUACUCCUAAAACCAAAGAAGGAUAUUACUACCGUCAAGUCUUUGAACGCCAUUACCCAGGCCGGGCUGACUGGCUGAGCCAUUACUGGAUGCCCAAGUGGAUCAAUGCCACUGACCCUUCUGCCCGCACGCUGACCCACUACAAGUCAGCUGUCAAAGCUUAGGUGGUCUUUAUGCUGUAAUGUGAAAGCAAAUAUUUCUUCGUGUUGGAUGGGGACUGUGGGUAGAUAGGGGAACAAUGAGAGUCAACUCAGGCUAACUUGGGUGUGAAAAAAAUAAAAGUCCUAAAUCUAAACCAUUGCUGUAGUCAUUUAUGUUCAUGCAGUCUCUUCAUAAGAGGUAACUAGAACUGUUUUGCUGUAUCACAGUAAAGUGGAGGGUAAGCUAGGAAAAGGGAAAAUGAUCAGAUGUCUGCAAGAACUCACAGCCCUCUCCUGGCAGAGCUGCUUUAGAUGACAUUUGCAUCUUGUGCCCGUGUGGCUUCCUUCCAGUCCUUGCCUCAUCUUAGGGACGUCAUCAAAGGACUACACUAUUUUUGUUCUGCCUACAUUCCUAACAGCUGCCUAGGCAGACUCAGACUUGAAUCUUCUAUAGGAGUUCAUCACAGCUCUAUUUUGCAAGAUAGUAGUUCAUUUUUUUCUCUUUUAUGUUGAGCCAAAGCCACUUCUGGAGACUUGUCCUAGAGCAGGGGUCAGGCUUUUUUUGAAUUUUUAAUUUGUUUUUAAUAAAGAGCCA
ensembl:lncRNA novel transcript